rnacentral:rRNA from 1 species
AUUGAACGCUGGCGGCAGGCCUAACACAUGCAAGUCGAGCGGAUGAGGGGAGCUUGCUCCCUGAUUCAGCGGCGGACGGGUGAGUAAUGCCUAGGAAUCUGCCUGGUAGUGGGGGACAACGUUUCGAAAGGAACGCUAAUACCGCAUACGUCCUACGGGAGAAAGCAGGGGACCUUCGGGCCUUGCGCUAUCAGAUGAGCCUAGGUCGGAUUAGCUAGUUGGUGAGGUAAUGGCUCACCAAGGCUGCGAUCCGUAACUGGUCUGAGAGGAUGAUCAGUCACACUGGAACUGAGACACGGUCCAGACUCCUACGGGAGGCAGCAGUGGGGAAUAUUGGACAAUGGGCGCAAGCCUGAUCCAGCCAUGCCGCGUGUGUGAAGAAGGUCUUCGGAUUGUAAAGCACUUUAAGUUGGGAGGAAGGGCAGUAAGUUAAUACCUUGCUGUUUUGACGUUACCGACAGAAUAAGCACCGGCUAACUUCGUGCCAGCAGCCGCGGUAAUACGAAGGGUGCAAGCGUUAAUCGGAAUUACUGGGCGUAAAGCGCGCGUAGGUGGUUUGUUAAGUUGGAAGUGAAAGCCCCGGGCUCAACCUGGGAACUGCUUUCAAAACUGGCAAGCUAGAGUAUGGCAGAGGGUGGUGGAAUUUCCUGUGUAGCGGUGAAAUGCGUAGAUAUAGGAAGGAACACCAGUGGCGAAGGCGACCACCUGGGCUAAUACUGACACUGAGGUGCGAAAGCGUGGGGAGCAAACA